AUAUUUAUUAUGUAAGUUUAGCUGAUUAAACAAAUGACUCUGCACUAAAAUAUUACUUAAAUUUACAUCAUUAUUAUAGUAUUUAGGGUCAGACCCUACAGUAUUGCGAUUAAGAAAUCAAAUAUUUUAUAAAAUGUAAAUACACUGAACUCAUUUGGAUAUAUUUAAGUGAGACUCUACAAUAUUAUUUUACACAAAUCUAUCUAAAUCAAAAUUUUAAUAAUUUUCACGCCAAACAUUUACUGGACUGAUUUAAAUAUUAAAAUCACUCCUUUCUAAUCCUCUGCUGUACGUUGAAACCUGAGGCCUUAAAUAGAAACACACAAGUAUCUGAUUGAAGGAACUUCUGCAGAGUCCUGGUUCCAGAACAUGAUGAUAGAAUUAUAGACAAACUUUAACAAAAGCUGACUGAGAGUUUACAGGUUUUUGUUAGAUUUCUUCAGUAAUUUAAUGAGAGUUAUCAGCAAAAAUCAAGUGUUCAUUUGAUGAACUUCAUUUCCUAAAACAUCCAGAAUUGGAGCUCAUAUCUUUGGCAGCUGUAAAGUUUCUGCUCCUUCAAAGUUCACAACACAAUGAAUUAAUUCCUAAAACACUCUCAAUGCUGGAGAGUGUUUGUGAUGCUGAAGCAGUGACCAGUUUUUCUGUUUCUUCUCUGGAGAUGCACAAUGAGGGACGUCUGCAGAGACUGAGAAAGAGUCUCACCACAUCCUGACAUGAGGAAAAAGACUUUAUUGAAGACUACAGUGAGAAAAACUAUCAGACAGCAGACGGCUGCAUUCAAGAGAGGAAGACCAUCAAACAUCCACAUCAGCUGAUGGAGGUCCAAGAGUCUCACCAAACAACCAACCUACAGAGUGAAGACCUCGAAUCUGAUUGGACGGCCUCCUGUUCAGCCACGUGUGAACAAAUGCCUCUAAGCUGAUUUGUUUUCUAAAAUAAGUCUAGUUUGAGUCCUAAUCUAUGCCUGUGUGUUUGCUUCUUUACACUGCUGUUAACAGUUAAGGCUGUUAGAUUGUUCCAGAUAAGACGAGUACAAAAUUCUUCAGAGCUGUUCUACCACGAGCCUGACAGGAAGAACUCCAACAGCUAUGGAAUGUUCCUGUGUUCCUACAGUAGUGAAUUUUAGGUGGAAUAUACCAUUGAACUCAACUUUUAGGUCUACAUUGGAGGAUUUUAGGUGGAAUUUUCGUCCAAACCUCUUUUAGUCUACAUUUAAGGAUGUUUAGGAUGGUAUAUUCUUCCAAACCAACUUCUCAGGUCUACAUUUCAGGUGGAAUAUUCCUCCAUACUAACUUUUUUGGUCUACAUUGAAGGAUUUUUUCUAAACCACCCUUUCGGGUCUAUAUUUGGGGUUUUAGGUGGAAUAUUCCUUUUAACCAGCCCCUCAGGUCUCUUUGAGGAUUUUGGAUGGAAUACUCGGUUAAACCAACAUUUUAGGUGCAUGUCCAAGGAUUUUUGGUGGAAUGUUCCUAUAAGGUGGAUGUUUGAGGACCUUGUAGGUGGAAUACUUCCUGAAACCAACCUUUUAGGUCAACAUUCAAAGAUUUAAGGUGGAAUAUUCCUUUAAACCAACCUAAAUUUCAUGUUUUGAUCAUUAUCAAGUGAGAAACCUCAAUCCAGAUUCCUCAUAAUGACAUUUGAGAUUUAUGCUGCUGUUAUUUGUUUAGUCCAGACUAAAUGACAGAAAUCCACAACUGUAAUUUUAUUUCAGGACUCCGUUAUUAAAUGUCAAAACAAUCCAUGUGACUCUAAAAACUCAACAGCUGUACAAACUCUAAGAUUAAACUCUCCACAAGGAUUCAAAAUAAGUUGGACUUCUACAUGAGAGCUUUAAUUAUUCUUCGUCUACUUCCUGAAAAUUUUGGUCAAUAAAAAAGACAAAAACUAAUAUUUUCAGUUGAACUAAAGACAGACUUUGUGAUUUUUCUGCUUACAUGUUGUGUUGUUGUAAACUUCCUCUUUCAAAUAAAUAGCGGCCUAACCCCCUGGAAACCAGCAUUUGUCCUGUUUUUGUGUUGCUCCUCGGCGAGCCCAGACAGCCGGGUCAUAAUGUUUUUUGAGCAACACACCAUACUAUGACGUUUUUACAAUGAUGGUUCUACUAUGGAACCAGUUUGACAUGUUCAGGUGUUCUUUGUGUGAAAACUCAGAGAUUUCAGGUAUCAGAAGGUGGUUUUCAACUUUCUUUGUUAACUUUCUGCCUCAACUUUAAACUAAAUUUCCUUCACUAACCCAGUCCUCUGGACUUCCAGUAAGCUGUGUUCCUAUUGGCUGUCCAGGUGGCUGCUUGGUGUUAUCAGGAACACCUGAGCAGCUUGGUGUUAUCAGGAACACCUGAGCAGCUCAGUGUCUUCCUGCUUUAUUUAGCUGCAG
ensembl:lncRNA